rnacentral:rRNA from 1 species
AUUGAACGCUGGCGGAAUGCUUUACACAUGCAAGUCGAGCGGCAGCGCGGGGCAACCUGGCGGCGAGCGGCGAACGGGUGAGUAAUGCAUCGGAACAUGUCCAUGUCGUGGGGGAUAGCCCGGCGAAAGCCGGAUUAAUACCGCAUACGCCCGAGAGGGGAAAGUGGGGGACCGCAAGGCCUCACGCGAUUGGGUUGGCCGAUGUCCGAUUAGCUAGUUGGCGGGGUAAGAGCCCACCAAGGCGAUGAUCGGUAGCUGGUCUGAGAGGAUGAUCAGCCACACUGGGACUGAGACACGGCCCAGACUCCUACGGGAGGCAGCAGUGGGGAAUUUUGGACAAUGGGGGAAACCCUGAUCCAGCCAUUCCGCGUGAGUGAAGAAGGCCUUCGGGUUGUAAAGCUCUUUUGUCCGGAACGGAACGGUUAGCGUGAAUAUCGCUGACUACUGACGGUACCGGAAGAAUAAGCACCGGCUAACUACGUGCCAGCAGCCGCCGUAAGAC